rnacentral:rRNA from 1 species
AACGAACGCUGGCGGCAGGCCUAACACAAGCAAGUCGAGCGCCCAGCAAUGGGAGCGGCGGACGGGUGAGUAACACGUGGGAACAUGCCCUUCGGUACGGAAUAACCCAGGGAAACUUGGGCUAAUACCGUAUACGUCCUCAGGGAGAAAGAUUUAUCGACGAAGGAUUGGCCCGCGUCCGAUUAGCUAGUUGGUGAGGUAACGGCUCACCAAAGCUGCGAUCGGUAGCUGGUUUGAGAGAACGAUCAGCCACACUGGGACUGAGACACGGCGCAGACUCCUACGGGAGGCAGCAGUGGGGAAUCUUGGACAAUGGGGGAAACCCUGAUCCAGCCAUGCCGCGUGAGUGAUGAAGGCCUUCGGGUUGUAAAACUCUUUCGCGCGCGACGAUAAUGACGGUAGCGCGAGAAGAAGCUCCGGCUAACUUCGUGCCAGCCGCCGCAGUAAGAC